GACGAACGCUGGCGGCGUGCUUAACACAUGCAAGUCGAACGAUGAAGCCUAGCUUGCUAGGUGGAUUAGUGGCGAACGGGUGAGUAAUACGUGAGUAACCUACCUUUAACUCUGGGAUAAGCCUGGGAAACUGGGUCUAAUACCGGAUACGACCAAUCUCCGCAUGGGGUGUUGGUGGAAAGCGUUAUGUAGUGGUUAUAGAUGGGCUCACGGCCUAUCAGCUUGUUGGUGAGGUAACGGCUCACCAAGGCGACGACGGGUAGCCGGCCUGAGAGGGUGACCGGCCACACUGGGACUGAGACACGGCCCAGACUCCUACGGGAGGCAGCAGUGGGGAAUAUUGCACAAUGGGCGCAAGCCUGAUGCAGCGACGCCGCGUGAGGGAUGACGGCCUUCGGGUUGUAAACCUCUGUUAGCAGGGAAGAAGAGAGAUUGACGGUACCUGCAGAGAAAGCGCCGGCUAGCUACGUG
rnacentral:rRNA from 1 species